rnacentral:rRNA from 1 species
CAAUUGGAGGGCAAGUCUGGUGCCGGCAGCCGCGGUAAUUCCAGCUCCAAUAGCGUAUAUUAAAAUUGUUGCAGUUAAAACGCUCGUAGUUGAAUUUCAAAGAAUCGAUAUUUUAAGCAACGCUUCUAGCUUAAUCCACAUAACUGAUACUUCGUAUCGACUUUGUGCGCAUUUUGCUAUUAUGUGUUCUUUUAAUUAAAAUGAUUCUUUUUAAGGACUUUCUUUGCUUCGGCUUGGAAGUCCUUGUUACUUUGAGUAAAUUAGAGUGUUCAAAGCAAACAGAUAUAGCAUUGCGCGUUUGAAUACUACAGCAUGGAAUAACAAAAUUGAACAAGUCAGAAUUUUGUUCUUUUUUCUUAUUUUGGCUUAGUUAAGAUUAAUAGGAGUAGCUUGGGGGCAUUUGUAUUCAGAUGUCAGAGGUGAAAUUCUUAGAUUUUCUGGAGACAAACAACUGCGAAAGCAUUUGCCUAAAAUACUUCCAUUAAUCAAGAACGAAAGUUAAGGGAGUGAAGACGAUCAGAUACCGUCGUAAUCUU